GAUGAAGAACGUAGCGAAAUGCGAUACUUGGUGUGAAUUGCAGAAUCCCGUGAACCAUCGAGUCUUUGAACGCAAGUUGCGCCCGAAGCCACUAGGCCGAGGGCACGCCUGCCUGGGCGUCACACGCCGUUGCCCCCCCAUCUACUCCUUCGGGAUUGCGGGGGGCGGAUGAUGGCCUCCUGUGCGCCUAGCCGCGCGGUUGGCAUAAAUACCAAGUCCUCGGCGACGCACGCCACGACAAUCGGUGGUUGCGAAACCUCGGUUGCCCGUCGUGUGCGUUCGUCGCGCAUCGAGGGCUCGAAAAAAUGCUCGGCUCCGGCUGGGCUUUCAACGCGACCCCAGGUCAGGCGGGGUUACCCGCUGAAUUUAAGCAUAUCAAUAAGCGGAGGA
rnacentral:misc_RNA from 1 species